rnacentral:rRNA from 1 species
GAUGAACGCUGGCGGCGUGCCUAAUACAUGCAAGUCGAGCGAACAGACGAGGAGCUUGCUCCUCUGACGUUAGCGGCGGACGGGUGAGUAACACGUGGAUAACCUACCUAUAAGACUGGGAUAACUUCGGGAAACCGGAGCUAAUACCGGAUAAUAUAUUGAACCGCAUGGUUCAAUAGUGAAAGACGGUUUUGCGGUCACUAUAGAUGGAUCCGCGCCGCAUUAGCUAGUUGGUAAGGUAACGGCUUACCAAGGCAACGAUGCGUAGCCGACCUGAGAGGGUGGUCGGCCACACUGGAACUGGGACACGGUCCAGGCUCCUGCGGGAGGGACCAGUAGGCAAUCUUCCGCAGUAGGCGGAAGCCUUGCGGAACGGGGCCACGUCAGUGGUAGAGGUCUUCGGAUCGUAAUGCUCUGUUAUUAGUGGAAAACAGAUGUGUAAGUAACUGUGCACGUCUUGACGGUACCUGGUAAGAAAGCCACGGCUAACUACGUG